rnacentral:rRNA from 1 species
CGUUUUCUCCGCCGGGCGACCGGCGCACGGGUGAGUAACACGUAUGCAACCUGCCCCUGUCAGGGGGACAACCCGCCGAAAGGCGGGCUAAACCCGCGUACAUGCCACCGGGCAUCCCGGAGGCAGGAAAGGCUUCGGCCGGACAGGGAUGGGCAUGCGGCGCAUUAGGCAGUAGGCGGGGUAACGGCCCACCUAACCGACGAUGCGUAGGGGUUCUGAGAGGAAGGUCCCCCACACUGGUACUGAGACACGGACCAGACUCCUACGGGAGGCAGCAG